UGGGGGAUAUUGCACAAUGGGCGAAAGCCUGAUGCAGCGACGCCGCGUGGGGGAUGAAGGCUUUCGGGUUGUAAACCUCUUUCGCUAUCGAACAAGGCCCGCUUAGGGUGGGUUGAGGGUAGGUGGAGAAGAAGCGCCGGCUAACUACGUGCCAGCAGCCGCGGUAAUACGUAGGGCGCGAGCGUUUUCCGGAAUUCUUGGGCGUAAAGGGCUUGUAGGCGGCUUGUUGCGCCUGCUGUGAAAACGCGGGGCUUAACUUCGCGCGUGCAGUGGGUACGGGCAGGCUUGAGUGUGGUAGGGGUGACUGGAAUUCCAGGUGUAGCGGUGGAAUGCGCAGAUAUCUGGAGGAACACCGAUGGCGAAGGCAGGUCACUGGGGCAUUACUGACGCUGAGGAGCGAAAGCAUGGGUAGCGAACAGG
rnacentral:rRNA from 1 species